GAGAGAUUUUGAAAAUCAAAUUUAAGAACUUCUUGAAAACUAAGAAAUUUGGAAACAAAAAUUAAUAAUACUGAAUAAAUUAUUUCAAAUUUUCAAACCAAAAUAAAAUAUCUUGAAAAAUUAAUUAAACGAAAUUCCUUUAAAAAGGGAAAUUUCGAAGCAAGAAAAUUCUUAAAGUAUAAAUAAAAUUUUGAAACAAAUAUUAAAAAUUGUGGAAAUAAGUUCAAUUUUUCUAAAAAAGUAUUAAUUUUUUUUAAACCGUGCUUAAUUCGAAAAAUUCAAAAAUUUCGUUGACAACAGCAGCUCGUCGAAAACAUGUCACCAACAACAUAAAUCCAUCGCAGCAGUCGUAAAAAUUUAUUUUGCAGCAAUCCAACGCUUCCACGCUGACAAAAGCAAAAGCAUACAACUCUCAUCAAUGCGCCUGUAAAUAUCGCAAACCACAAAAUAAAUUUUCAAAAUAAAAAAAAAAAAAAAAA